GACCCUGGCUCAGGAUGAACGCUAGCUACAGGCUUAACACAUGCAAGUCGAGGGGCAGCGUGAACUUAGCUUGCUAAGUUUGAUGGCGACCGGCGCACGGGUGAGUAACACGUAUCCAACCUUCCGUUUACUCAGGGAUAGCCUUUCGAAAGAAAGAUUAAUACCUGAUAGUAUGGUGAGAUUGCAUGAUAACACCAUUAAAGAUUUAUUGUAAACGAUGGGGAUGCGUUCCAUUAGGUAGUAGGCGGGG
rnacentral:rRNA from 1 species